AGAGUUUGAUCAUGGCUCAGAACGAACGCUGGCGGCAUGCCUAACACAUGCAAGUCGAACGCUCCCGGGGCUUCGGUUUCGGGGGAGUGGCGCACGGGUGAGUAGCGCGUGGGAACCUGCCCUGGAGUGGGGGAUAACCGAGGGAAACUUCGGCUAAUACCGCAUGCGCCCCCGGGCUCGGUCUUCGGAUUGAGACUGGGGGGAAAGAUUUAUCGCUCUAGGAGGGGCCCGCGUCGGAUUAGCUAGUUGGUGGGGUAACGGCUCACCAAGGCGAUGAUCCGUAGCUGGUCUGAGAGGAUGAUCAGCCACACUGGGACUGAGACACGGCCCAGACUCCUACGGGAGGCAGCAGUGGGGAAUAUUGGACAAUGGGGGCAACCCUGAUCCAGCAAUGCCGCGUGAGUGAUGAAGGCCUUCGGGUUGUAAAGCUCUUUCGCCCGCGACGAUGAUGACGGUAGCGGGAGAAGAAGCCCCGGCUAACUUCGUGCCAGCAGCCGCGGUA
rnacentral:rRNA from 1 species